rnacentral:lncRNA from 1 species
GGUUAAGCCAACAUUGGAUGCCAUGCCUUCCUGCAAGGGGAGUGAUUUUAACUAUGGCUAGAUUUGGUCCAUUAACGCUCCGUGAAGGAUUUGGGGUCUGUGUUCCUGAGGCUUAUCGGGCCAUGGCUUCUUUUCUUGUGAUGCCUUUGGCUGGAUUAUCCAGAUAAUUCUUCACCGAAUGAAUCGAGCUGCAGUCCCUCCGCUUCAGUUUUCGGAGUGGUUUGUGAAAGUUCCUUGGGCGGCGAAGGCCCGACCCCACCAGCUGUUUACAAUCCAUCAUCCAGCAGUUUCCAUGUGGUUGUCAUGCUGCUUGUGACGGGAAAGAGAAUCUCGGUGUCCAAAUACUGGACUUGCAGCUUCAUAAAUCAGGAAGCUCUCGCCAUUCAAAUCAUCAUAUUGACAGCAAAUUUGCAUAAUUUUCCUAGUUUGCUUUGCGGUUGAGGUCAGGUCUCUCCUGUUCUCAGUGGGUGGCCCCUGGGAAGCGGCCAAGUGGGGGCCUUAAACUGGGGGGGCAUCAGAGGCGCUUGGAGGGGUGAGAGAAGCCUGGGCGGAUGUGUGUGGGGGGUCUCUCUGGGGAGCAGCUUGCCAGGCCUCAGUGACAAUGCCUACCCACGGUGGCACAGCCCAGGAGAGCUGGGGUCUUCCCCGGAGACAGCAGGGACCUUCCUCCAGAGCAGGGUCUCGUGCCAACUGAUAAAUGGACAGAGGCCAAAAGCGGGUAGUUCAGAGCUGUGACAUCCAAAUGGCUACUACGUAUAUGAAAAAUGAUUUUCUCACCAGGAAUCAGAAAUGCAAAGCCAAGCAAUACGGCCCUCGUGUGUCAUCCUCUGGGCUGAUGGUGUGACGGCCGAGAGCCUUGUUCAGCUCUGCCUCCUGGGACGGAACCGGCCGGUGUCCUUCCACACACUCCUUUGGGCCUGUCCACGCUGCUCUUGUCAAGCUGUCCCCAGGACAACGGAAAUGGACAACAGCGCUGCGCCUCUCGUGGCGCUGCGUGUCAUC